rnacentral:rRNA from 1 species
GCUAGUUGGCGGGGUAACGGCCCACCAAGGCAACGAUGGGUAGCCGGUCUGAGAGGAUGACCGGCCACACUGGAACUGGAACACGGUCCAGACUCCUACGGGAGGCAGCAGUGGGGAAUAUUGCGCAAUGGGCGAAAGCCUGACGCAGCGACGCCGCGUGAGGGAUGAAGGUCUUCGGAUCGUAAACCUCUGUCAGAAGGGAAAAAUGUACAGUGCCCCAAUCAACACUGUAUUGAUGGUACCUUCAGAGGAAGCACCGGCUAACUCCGUGCCAGCAGCCGCGGUAAUACGGAGGGUGCAAGCGUUGUCCGGAAUCAUUGGGCGUAAAGAGUUCGUAGGUGGUUUGUUAAGUUUGGUGUUAAAUGCAGAGGCUCAACUUCUGUUCGGCAUCGGAUACUGGCAGACUAGAAUGCGGUAGAGGUAAAGGGAAUUCCUGGUGUAGCGGUGAAAUGCGUAGAUAUCAGGAGGAACAUCGGUGGCGUAAGCGCUUUACUGGGCCGUAAUUGACACUGAGGAACGAAAGCCAGGGUAGCAAAUGGGAUUAGAUACCCCAGUAGUCCUGGCCGUAAACGAUGGAUACUAGGUGUUGCGGGUAUCGACCCCUGCAGUGCCGUAGCUAACGCGUUAAGUAUCCCGCCUGGGGAGUACGCACGCAAGUGUGAAACUCAAAGGAAUUGACGGGGACCCGCACAAGCGGUGGAACAUGUGGUUUAAUUCGAAGCAACGCGAAGAACCUUACCAGGGCUUGACAUCUAACAAACCUUUGUGAAAGCAGAGGGUGCUCUUCGGAGAAUGUUAAGACAGGUGGUGCACGGUUGUCGUCAGCUCGUGUCGUGAGAUGUUGGGUUAAGUCCCGCAACGAGCGCAACCCUCGUCGUUAGUUGGUACUAUCGGUAUACUUAUAGUAACCUCUCUAGCGAGACUGCCGGUGAUAAACCGGAGGAAGGUGAGGACGACGUCAAAUCAUCAUGCCCCUUAUGCUCUGGGCUACACACGUGUUACAAUGGCCGGUACAAUGAGCCGCCAACUCGCGAGAGUGAGCAAAUCUCUAAAAGCCGGUCUCAGUUCGGAUUGCAGUCUGCAACUCGACUGCAUGAAGUCGGAAUCGCUAGUAAACGCAGAUCAGCACGCUGCGUUGAAUACGUUCCCGGGUCUUGUACACACCGCCCGUCACACCAUGGAAGUCGACCACGCCCGAAGUACGUGAGCUAACCGUAAGGAAGCAGCGUCCUAAGGCAGGGUUGGUGACUGGGGUGAAGUCGUAACAAGGUAGCCGUACCGGAAGGUGUGGCUG